AACGCGAAGAACCUUACCAAGGCUUGACAUAUACCGGAAAAGCGUUGAAAUACGCUCCCCGCAAGGUCGGUAUACAGGUGGUGCAUGGUUGUCGUCAGCUCGUGUCGUGAGAUGUUGGGUUAAGUCCCGCAACGAGCGCAACCCUCGUCCUAUGUUGCCAGCACGUAAUGGUGGGAACUCAUGGGAGACUGCCGGGGUCAACUCGGAGGAAGGUGGGGAUGACGUCAAAUCAUCAUGCCCCUUAUGUCUUGGGCUUCACGCAUGCUACAAUGGCCGAUACAGAGGGCUGCAAUACCGCAAGGUGGAGCGAAUCCCAAAAAGUCGGUCUCAGUUCGGAUUGAGGUCUGCAACUCGACCUCAUGAAGUCGGAGUCGCUAGUAAUCGCAGAUCAGCAACGCUGCGGUGAAUACGUUCCCGGGUCUUGUACACACCG
rnacentral:rRNA from 1 species